AUGAAGUAAAAUAUUUCAUCAACAUGGAUGUUUCUGGAAAGACAAAGAAUCACUUGAAACCAAGCAGGGAGAAAAGUCUGCUCUGGAAGCUGCUGUUUAGAGCUGGGGAGAAUGGAGAAGUUCUGAUAGCUGGGAGUGAAAGAUCAGUGUCAAGAACUACAUUUCAAACUGCAAAACUGGAAGAACCUGUGCAAACUUCAGUGCAAAAGAAAACUGAAGCCUAUGGAGAAGCAAGCAAAUGAAAGUUACAUGAAUCUGAAGAUGGAAGAGAACUGAUUACUGGCCUCCUCUUUGAAGUAAGCUGGGGACAGCAACAGCUGCAGAAUAUUUUGUAGAGUGCAGUUUACUUCUCCUUGAGAAGAGAAAUUAAGGACCUGCAUGCAUUCUCCAGUGAAAUGGCUAACAGAUAUUCAAGGUCACCAGGGAACUGAACCCAAGUCAUGGUAAUAUCACCCAUGGCUUCUAAGACAAGAACACUUCAUACUGCAAGAAUAAAGGAAGAGAAAGACAUCCAUCCCUCUUGGCAAGGAUACAUCUACAACUCUGAGACUGGAUAGUUGGACUUACUAGUCCUGCUCUGAAGUGCUGCUAACUUCUGUACAUCCCUGAAGCACUCUCAGUAUGGGUGUUAGAAUAUAUCUAAUGUUCCCCAGUCAUACCCAAUUUCUCAUUACUAAAACCCCCAUGAAUAUCCCAAGUUAGAAAGGCAGGAACACCAACUGCUUUGAAAGUUUUGUUGUUCCAAAUUCCUCUACCCGUGUAAAACUGCAGAAAAUUACCUCCCAGCUAUUAAUUUCAUCUUUUUGGAGAACAGUUUGGAAAAAGAAAAACAGGUGCACCUGAUUACUAAUCCACUUUAUUAUUUUCUCGCUGUAGACACUUUGCAAAAAGUAUCUUUAUAAUGGUAAGACAAACUUUUUUUUGGUGGGGGGAGAAAAGAAGUAAGUGAAGUGGAAAACCGCAGCAAGAAAAGAAGCAAACAAAUUUUAAAAUAUCAGAAUAAAGUCUAUGAUGGUCAGGAGCCUGAAAAAGACCUAGCAAAAGACUUUGAAAUAGUAUGUCUCGAGUACUUUUCUAAGAUAAAUAUAUCCCUGAAGCUCAGAGUACAGAACUAUUUGCCUGUACAAAAUACCUAAUUAUAAGAUAGUACUUUUGUGUUUACCAAGAAGCCUCAUUUUGCAUAGUUAUCUAGUAAAUGCCUUUCACAA